GGAAGUUUGGGUGAGUGGUUGAAACCAGCAGUUUGCUAAACUGCCGUACGUGUUUAACGUACCGGGGGUUCGAAUCCCCCAGCUUCCG
rnacentral:tRNA from 1 species